CAUGGUGGCCGCCGUGCUCCCUGCUCCUCCUUUGGCGAGCGGCUGCAGCAGGGGGCCUUCUUCCCCAGCGGCGCCUCUGCUCUCCCUCCCCAGCGCCCCUUCUUCUUCCAUGGAUUGCAGCAGCUCGACCCUCCUCUCCAUGGCGCGAGCUUCAUUUUUCAGAGCCGCCGAAGCUCCUCCUCAUGGCGCCCCCACUCCCUGCUACAUCUUCUCUCAGCCUCCUCUCACCCUCCCAAGACAGCCAGCGCAGGGGCCUUCUUCCCCAUGGAGGCCGAGCCCCCUGCUCCCAGCCGUGACGCCCAGAAUUUUUUUCCAGCAGAGAGCCUCUUCCCAUGGGCGCCACCCCCCUGCAGCUUCCCCUUGCCGGCGCCCAGAAAUUGCAGCAGUAGCUCUUUCUCCCCAGCCUCCAAUCCCCUGCAAGUGACCCUCUGCUCGGCUCCCUCUUCCCAGCAGCAAGCUCCGGAUUUCUGUACGCCGACAUGGGGCUGCGCAGUCCCGACCCAAGGCGUCGCGUGGGUGUUGGACAACCCCACGCUACAUCGUCGAUCUGCGCGGUUUGACUGUCUCCGCGUCUCGCUUCGCCGAAUCUGCGCAGCGCCGACGUGCCAUCGUGGGAACCCGUGCCCUUGUCGACGUCACGCCUUGCGCAUCGCUCGUCGGCAAAGAGCCCAAACUAAUGGCAUGCAUGCGCGGCACGAGUCGGCCAGGUUGUUCGCCUUGUAUGAUUGCGAUUUAUUUUACUUACGUAUUCGGUCGAUGAUGUGCCUGCAUGUUUAUAUGUGUGUAAAAUGUUUCGGUUAUGCGCAUUGGUAGAAUCGCGUUUGCGAUUGGAGAACAAGAGGUUAUUUGAGGUA